rnacentral:rRNA from 1 species
AUGGCCAUCAUCAAGCAGUCGCUCAUUGUCCUAGUGCUGCUCAUAUGCGGAGCAGGCGGCUCCGCCACACCGGCGCCGGCGCCGGAGCCGGCGCUGCUGACGCAGGAUAAUCUGUGUGUCGGCAUAAGCACGUCCAACGAAGAGCUGGCCUGCGUCGCCAACGUCGCACUGGCCUGCUUCGCCGAGAAUGCCGUCACCAACGAGGUUACCUUCACGCCAUGCUUCGUCCUCGCCGCCGGCAGGCAAUGCUUGGCCAAGGAUAAGGAGGAGCCCAACAAGGAGCACUGCAUCGGCCUAGAGAUCAGCAAGCAACUGCUGCCAUGCCUUGGAGAUAGCGCCUGGACCUGCUACAACGACAUCACGGGGUACAUCCCUCCCAGGACUGCAGCACAACAUGUCUCCUUCGUGCUGCUGCUGCUCCUUGUGUCAAUGGCCGCAGUUAGAUCGACCGCCGGAGUGCAGCAAGGACAAUGGUACAGCGUCAUGGAUUUCCAUGCAGCUGGGGACGGCGCGACCAGUGAUGUCGAGGCGUUCGAGGAGACAUGGAAAGUAGCCUGCAGCAGCCACAGCAGCGAGGUGAUCAUUACUCCCUUCAUAAAGAAAUAUAAGAGCAUACUGGAAUUGAGGUUAGUGUUUGUGCAGCUGGAGAGCGACGUGGUGGCGCCAAGUUCCUUCUAUUUAAAGCCAUCAGACGUCCUGACCUUCUAUGGCGUCGACAACCUGACGACACACAAUACUUCCUCCCUCUCGCAGUCGCUGUCGUUCGCACACUGCAACAAUCUACGGGUGACCAACAUACGCCUCAAGGACGGCGCCGAAAAGAACAUGAUCCUGUACGAGUGCACGCAGGUGCAGGUGCACAACGUCUCCAUCACGGCGCCGGGCGACAGCCCCAACACGGACGGGAUCAAUAUGGGCUCCUCCAACCAUGUAAAUAUCUCGUCUUGCUCUAUGCACACCGGUGAUGAUUGUGUGUCGAUUCUAUCGGGGACCACCAAUGUUAACAUCACCAACACCACCUGCGGGCCUGGUCAUGGCAUCAGGGAUGGCAAGGCACUAGCAACCGAAUUCCUUUUCACCAAACUCAGAAUGACUGCCGUCCGGUUGCCUAUCGACAUCGACCAGUUCUAUUGCCCCCAAGGAAACUGUCCACCACAGGCCGCGGGCGCCUCCUCCUCCUUUGCAUGGGGGAUGGGACCACGCGACCCCGAGAUGGAAGUGACAACGCCUGAUGAGAUCAAGGAAAAGAUCAACGAACUUGAGAAAGUCUCCAAACCAUGUGCAAAUACAAUUGGUCAAGAGAUUGAUUCUAAUUGGAUGAUGAGCAAAGAUCUCGAAGCCAAGGUGAAUAGUCUCUACAGUAAGAUGGAUACCCUCUUUGAUUUUACCACCAAGCUCUUUGCAGAAACCAGCCUUCUUACGAAGUUGGCCACUAAGAAACAAAGAGAAAUAUUUGUGAUGUGUCAUUUCAAGUGUAUCGGUCUCGCAUGCAACGUGAAGAAGGCGGAGGGAUCCAAGGAAGCUAAGGAGGAAGGAACCUCGGCUAGACCCAAUUAG